AUACGGAGGGGGUUAGCGUUGUUCGGAAUUACUGGGCGUAAAGCGCACGUAGGCGGACUGGAAAGUUGGGGGUGAAAUCCCGGGGCUCAACCCCGGAACUGCCUCCAAAACUUCCAAUCUAGAGAUCGAGAGAGGUGAGUGGAAUUCCAAGUGUAGAGGUGAAAUUCGUAGAUAUUUGGAGGAACACCAGUGGCGAAGGCGGCUCACUGGCUCGAUUCUGACGCUGAGGUGCGAAAGCGUGGGGAGCAAACAGGAGUAGAAACCCUAGUAGUCC
rnacentral:rRNA from 1 species